CGGAUUGACUGGGCGUAAAGCGCUCGCAGGCGGAUGCGCGCGUGGGGUGUGAAAUCUGGCCGCUUAACGGCCAGGCGCCAUCCCAUACGGCGCGUCUGGAGUGAUGCAGAGGUCGGUGGAAUUGCCGGUGUAGUGGUGAAAUGCGUAGAGAUCGGCAGGAACACCCAGGGGGAAACCAGCCGACUGGGCAUCUACUGACGCUGAGGUGCGAGAGCGUGGGGAGCGAACCGG
rnacentral:rRNA from 1 species